rnacentral:rRNA from 1 species
GACGGAGGGGGCUAGCGUUGUUCGGAAUGACUGGGCGUAAAGGGCGCGUAGGCGGUUUUUUAAGUGAGGCGUGAAAGCCCUGGGCUUAACCCAGGAGGUGCGUUUCAUACUGGAAGACUUGAGUACGAGAGAGGAAAGUGGAAUUCCUAGUGUAGAGGUGAAAUUCGUAGAUAUUAGGAAGAACACCAGAGGCGAAGGCGGCUUUCUGGCUCGUAACUGACGCUGAGGCGCGAAAGCGUGGGGAGCAAACAGG